rnacentral:rRNA from 1 species
UCUCUAGUGGCGCACGGGUGAGUAACACGUGAGUACCUGCCCCCAAGAGUGGGAUAGCCCCGGGAAACUGGGAUUAAUACCGCAUAAAGCAAUAAAGCAGCGAUGCGCUUGGGGAUGGGCUCGCGUCCUAUUAGUUAGUUGGUGAGGUAACGGCUCACCAAGGCGAUGACGGGUAGCCGGUCUGAGAGGAUGUCCGGCCACACUGGAACUGAGACACGGUCCAGACACCUACGGGUGGCAGCAGUCGAGAAUCAUUCACAAUGGGGGAAACCCUGAUGGUGCGACGCCGCGUGGGGGAUAAGGUCUUCGGAUUGUAAACCCCUGUCAUGUGGGACAUUAAAAAGAUAGUACCACAAGAGGAAGAGACGGCUAACUCUGUGCCAGCAGCCGCGAUAAUACAGAGGUCUCAAGCGUUGUUCGGAAUCACUGGGCGUAAAGCGUGCGUAGGCGGUUUCGUAAGUCGUGUGUGAAAGGCGGGGGCUCAACCCCCGGACUGCACAUGAUACUGCGAGACUAGAGUAAUGGAGGGGGAACCGGAAUUCUCGGUGUAGCAGUGAAAUGCGUAGAUAUCGAGAGGAA